rnacentral:tmRNA from 1 species
AGUAAUAUCAAUCGUGUCGAGUUUGAUUCAUACUCGUAAAACAGAUUCAAACAAUAAACGCAAAUAACAUUUUUUCGCGCAUUAUCAACAAGGUUGAGACGGCGCUGUUUGGCGACAUUGAAGGAGUAGCUUUAAUAGCUGCGUAAAUCAAUGGGAGGUUCGUCACUCUUAAACUGGCGAGAACAACACUUCCUUUCAAGGUUUGGCUUCGUUCCUUAAAAAUGAGCUGGUGGAUGGGUCACCUUCGGGUACCCCUAUUGGGUAGUUCCAAUUAAAACAAAACUAACACACGUAAUAAGUUGAUAUUAGGAGAAUUAGGAGACACGCGUUCGAUUCGCGUCAGCUCCACU